rnacentral:misc_RNA from 1 species
AAGUCGUAACAAGGUUUCCGUAGGUGAACCUGCGGAAGGAUCAUUAACACUUUGUUAACCCAAUAUCAACCAAAUGUGAACUGUAGCGUCCCUAUUCAUUGUUAUAAUCAGACUUCGGUUUAAUUAUAGCAAUGCGAUAGACAAUACCCUCUUAGUAGUUAUCACAAACUAAGGCCCCAAUACUUUAGUUUCGUGAUGAUGAACUAUUAACCAACUUUAACCCUAUAACAUACAAAUUGUCUAAUCUUCAUAAACUUAAUGACUGCUUCGGUGGUUAAUAAGAUUUACGAAAUAUUGAACAACUCUUAGCAAUGGAUAUCUUGGGUCAU